rnacentral:rRNA from 1 species
CGUGUAGGCGGCCAAGCAGGUCUGUUGUGAAAACUGGAGGCUCAACCUCCAGACGUCGACAGAAACCGCUUGGCUAGAGUCCGGAAGAGGAGAGUGGAAUUCCUGGUGUAGCGGUGAAAUGCGCAGAUAUCAGGAAGAACACCAAUGGCGAAGGCAGCUCUCUGGGACGGUACUGACGCUGAGAGCGAAAGCGGUGGGGAGCGAACA